rnacentral:rRNA from 1 species
UCUUCCGCAAUGGGCGAAAGCCUGACGGAGCAACGCCGCGUGAGUGAUGAAGGUUUUCGGGUCGUAAAGCUCUGUUGCCAGGGAAGAACGUCUCAUAGAGUAACUGCUAUGAGAGUGACGGUACCUGAGAAGAAAGCCCCGGCUAACCACGUGCCAGCAGCCGCGGUAAUACGUAGGGGGCAAGCGUUGUCCGGAAUUAUUGGGCGUAAAGCGCGCGCAGGCGGUUCUUUAAGUCUGGUGUUUAAACCCGAGGCUCAACUUCGGGACGCACUGGAAACUGGGGAACUUGAGUGCAGAAGAGAAGAGUGGAAUUCCACGUGUAGCGGUGAAAUGCGUAGAUAUGUGGAGGAACACCAGUGGCGAAGGCGACUCUCUGGGCUGUAACUGACGCUGAGGCGCGAAAGCGUGGGGAGCGAACAGG